rnacentral:tRNA from 1 species
AGAUUUUUAGUUUAUGUACUAAAACUUUUAAUUUGCAUUUAAAAAAAUUUUUUAAAAAUCUU